rnacentral:rRNA from 19 species
GAACGGGUGAGUAACACGUGGGCAAUCUGCCCUUCACUCUGGGACAAGCCCUGGAAACGGGGUCUAAUACCGGAUACGACACACGACCGCAUGGUCUGUGUGUGGAAAGCUCCGGCGGUGAAGGAUGAGCCCGCGGCCUAUCAGCUUGUUGGUGGGGUGAUGGCCUACCAAGGCGACGACGGGUAGCCGGCCUGAGAGGGCGACCGGCCACACUGGGACUGAGACACGGCCCAGACUCCUACGGGAGGCAGCAGUGGGGAAUAUUGCACAAUGGGCGAAAGCCUGAUGCAGCGACGCCGCGUGAGGGAUGACGGCCUUCGGGUUGUAAACCUCUUUCAGCAGGGAAGAAGCGAAAGUGACGGUACCUGCAGAAGAAGCGCCGGCUAACUACGUGCCAGCAGCCGCGGUAAUACGUAGGGCGCAAGCGUUGUCCGGAAUUAUUGGGCGUAAAGAGCUCGUAGGCGGCUUGUCACGUCGGAUGUGAAAGCCCGGGGCUUAACCCCGGGUCUGCAUUCGAUACGGGCAGGCUAGAGUUCGGUAGGGGAGAUCGGAAUUCCUGGUGUAGCGGUGAAAUGCGCAGAUAUCAGGAGGAACACCGGUGGCGAAGGCGGAUCUCUGGGCCGAUACUGACGCUGAGGAGCGAAA